rnacentral:rRNA from 1 species
CUCUAAAGCUAAUCCAGGUGGGGUCUGGUUAGUACUUGGAUGGAAGACUGCUUGGGAAUACUAGGUGUUGUAGGCU